rnacentral:sRNA from 1 species
AGCAGCCGCGGUAAUUCCAGCUCCAAUAGCGUAUAUUAAAGUUGUUGCAGUUAAAAAGCUCGUAGUUGAACUUCGGGGUUCACCCAUUGGUCAGGCUUAAUUGUCUGUACUGGUGAGAUGAGUCUCUACCUUCUGAGGAACUUUCAUGCCAUUUAUUUGGUGUGAUUGGAAAUCAGGACUGUUACUUUGAAAAAUUAGAGUGUUUAAAGCAGGCUAACGUCUGAAUACAUUAGCAUGGAAUAAUGAAAUAGGACGGACUGAUUCUAUUUCGUUGGUUUCUAGGAUCACCGUAAUGAUUAAUAGGGAUAGUUGGGGGCAUUAGUAUUCAAUUGUCAGAGGUGAAAUUCUUGGAUUUAUUGAAGACUAACUACUGCGAAAGCAUUUGCCAAGGAUGUUUUCAUUAAUCAAGAACGAAAGUUAGGGGAUCGAAGACGAUCAGAUACCGUCGUAGUCU